rnacentral:rRNA from 1 species
GUGGGGAAUAUUGGGCAAUGGGCGAAAGCCUGACCCAGCAACGCCGCGUGAAGGAAGAAGGUCUUCGGAUCGUAAACUUCUAUCCUUGGUGAAGAUAAUGACGGUAGCCGAGAAGGAAGCCCCGGCUAACUACGUGCCAGCAGCCGCGGUAAUACGUAGGGGGCAAGCGUUGUCCGGAAUGAUUGGGCGUAAAGGGCGCGUAGGCGGCCUGGUAAGUCUGGAGUGAAAGUCCUGCUUUUCAGGUGGGAAUUGCUUUGGAUACUGUCGGGCUUGAGUGCAGGAGAGGUAAGUGGAAUUCCCGGUGUGGCGGUGAAAUGCGUAGGGAUCGGGAGGAACACCAGUGGCGAAGGCGACUUACUGGACUGUAACUGACGCUGAGGCGCGAAAGUGUGGGGAGCAAACAGGAUUAGAAACCCUGGUAGUCC